rfam:Mycobacterium gordonae strain CTRI 14-8773 contig_76, whole genome shotgun sequence.
UUCGCUGCCGGGUCAACCUCGCGGGUCACCACCAGGUACUCCCGCAGCGCGAUGGCAUGCAGGUGCUC